rnacentral:misc_RNA from 1 species
AAAGUCGUAACAAGGUAACCGUAGGUGAACCUGCGGUUGGAUCAUUAAUGAAUUAUGUUUCAACGUGUAGUUGAAGCUUAAUAGGGGUGAGACCUUAAGUCGCAAGACUUUAACGGGUCUCCCUCGCUUACCCAUGUGAACUGUUUUUUAGUCAACUAUUUUUUUGACUUACCCAAACAUAAAAAGUCAUUAGAAACUAGUCUUAAUAAAAACAACUUAAUGUUGAAACAACUUUUGACAACGGAUCUCUUGGCUCUC